CCUACGGGUGGCAGCAGUGGGGAAUAUUGCACAAUGGGCGCAAGCCUGAUGCAGCGACGCCGCGUGAGCGAUGAAGGCCUUCGGGUCGUAAAGCUCUGUCCUAAGGGAAGAAUAAUGACGGUACCUUAGGAGGAAGCCCCGGCUAGCUACGUGCCAGCAGCCGCGGUAAUACGUAGGGGGCGAGCGUUAUCCGGAAUCACUGGGCGUAAAGGGUGCGUAGGCGGCCCUGCAAGUCAGGAGUUAAAUCCCUCGGCUCAACCGUAGUAAGCCUUUGAAACUGUAGGGCUUGAGUGCAGGAGAGGAGAGUGGAAUUCCCAGUGUAGCGGUGAAAUGCGUAGAUAUUGGGAGGAACAUCAGUUGCGAAGGCGGCUCUCUGGACUGUAACUGACGCUGAGGCACGAAAGCGUGGGGAGCGAACAGGAUUAGAUACCCGAGUAGUC
rnacentral:rRNA from 1 species